rnacentral:rRNA from 1 species
UACGGAGGGUGCAAGCGUUAUCCGGAUUUACUGGGUUUAAAGGGUGCGUAGGCGGGCCGGUAAGUCAGUGGUGAAAUCUGUGGGCUUAACCCACAAACUGCCAUUGAUACUAUCGGUCUUGAAUAGCGUGGAGGUGAGCGGAAUAUGUCAUGUAGCGGUGAAAUGCUUAGAUAUGACAUAGAACACCAAUUGCGAAGGCAGCUCACUGCGCGCACGAAUUGACGCUGAGGCACGAAAGCGUGGGGAUCAAACAGG